rnacentral:lncRNA from 1 species
GGUGGAGACGAGAUACAAACCGAUCCGGCUUCCGAGCAACACGAUCAGAAACCCUGCAAAUUUUUUUAUUUUUUUGAUAUUUUUAUUUUACUUAGGAGCACAAAAGAAGUAACCAUAGAAAAUUUGAGCUCAAACAAGUGAAAGACGUGGCCUUUAGAAAUUUCUGAAGACUGCGAAAAAUGUAAAAAAACACGAGGUGAAAACUCAAAUAUUGGAGGUGAAUUUGGAGAUACUAAAAUUUUCAAACCCACCAAUGGUGGAGACAGAUAGGUCCAAAAUUUUUUUCUGACACAAUUUUGAUAUAUGAAACAUUGAAAUCGGAGUUCGUAUGCGAAAGUUAUUGCUAUUUUACGAAUGGGGUCUGAAUUAGAGGACAAAACGGUUCGAAAUUGGGAAAAAUUUGCGGCGGUGGCUAGAAAUUGAUGGAAAACGGUGAGGAAAAACACACGAACUAGACUCUAACAAGACCUAACCAGCAACAAGACCUCGACCAGGACACAAACUCAACACUGCGGACUCUCAAACUGAAAUAUGCAAAGGCUAUGACGCGGAAGGGUUGUAGGACAGGAAAACGAUAUUGCACUGGACUUACGGGACGAACACAAGAACACUCGAAACUAAGGGUAGAUGUGAACCUAACGGUAUACCUGAAGCUUUGAUUACCACUUGAUGAGAGCAACGGUGGCCUGAUCUUAUGAAAUGUUCUGGUAAAUCUCGAUUUGGUGGAGACGAGAUACAAAUCGAUCCAGCUUCCAAACAACACGAUCCGAAACCCUGCAUUUUUUUUAAUUUCUUUGAUAUUUUUCUUUUACUUAGGAGCACUAAUUUAGUAACCAGAGAAAAUUUGAGCUUAAACAAGUGAAAGACGUGGGCUGCGGAAUUUUCUGAAGAUUGAGAAAAAUGUGAAAUAAACUUCACGACGUGAAAACUCAAAUUUCGGAGGCGAAUUUGGAGAUUCUAAAAUUUUCAAACCCGCCCGAGCCAGAGACAGACAAAUCUGAAAAUUUUUUCUCAUCGAUUUUGAUAUAUGGAACAUUGAAAUCGGAGUUCGUAUGUGAAAGUUAUGGCUGUUUUACAAACGGACUCCGAAUUAGAGGACAAAACGGUUCGAAAGUGGGAAAAAUUUGCGGCGGUGGCUAGAAAUUGAUGGAAAACGGUGGAGAAAAACACACGAACUGGACUCUAGCAAGACCUAACCAGCAACAAAACCUCGACCAGGACACAAACUCAACACUGCGGACUCUGAAACUGAAAUAUGCAAAGGCUAUGACGCGGAAGGGUUGUAGGACACGAAAACGAUAUGGCACUGGACUUACGGGACGAACACAAGAACACUCGAAACUAAGGGUAGAUGUGAACCUAACGGUAUACCUGAAGCUUUGAUUACCACUUGAUGAGAACAAGGGUGGCCCGAUCUUCCGAAAGGUUGUGGUAACUCUCGAUUUGGUGGAGACGAGAUACAAAUCGAUCCGGCUUCCAAACAACACGGUCCGAAACCCUGCAAUUUUUUUUAAUUUUUUUGAUAUUUUUCUUUUACUUAGGAGCACUAAAGAAGUAACUAGAGAAAAUUUGAGCUUAAACAAGUGAAAGACGUCGCCUGUGGAAUUUUCUGAAGAUUGCGAAAAAUAUGAAAAAAAACUUCACGAGGUGAAAACUCAAAUUUUGGAGGAACAUUUGGAGAUCCUAAAUUUUCUAACCCACAAGUUCCAAGGAUAGACAGAUCCAAAUUUUUUUCUGAUCGAUUUUGAUAUAUGGAACAUUGAAAUCGGAGUUCGUAUGUGAAAGUUAUGGCUGUUUUAUGAAUGGACUCUAAAUUAGAGGACAAAAUGGUCCGAAAGUGUGAAAAAUCUACGGCAGCGGCUAGAAAUUGAUGGAAACGGUGGGAAAAAUACAUGAACUGGACUCUAACAAAACCUGACCAGCAACAAGACCUCAACCAGGACACCAACUCAACACUGUAGACUCUGAAACUGAAAUAUGCAAAGGCUAUGGCGCGUAAGGGUUGUAGGAUAGGAAAACAAUAUUGCACUGGACUUACGGGACGAACACAAGAACACUCGAAACUAAGGGUAGAUGUGAACCUAACGGUAUACCUGAAGCUUUGAUUACCACUUGAUGAGAGCAAGGGUGGCCUGAUCUUAUGAAAUGUUCUGGUAACUCUCGAUUUGGUGGAGACGAGAUAUAAAUCGAUCUGGCUUCCAAACAACACGAUCCGAAACCCUGCAUUUUUUUUAAUUUAUUUGAUAUUUUUCUUUUACUUAGGAGCACUAAAGAAGUAACCAGAGAAAAUUUGAGCUUAAACAAGUGAAAAGUGAAAGACGUGGCCUGCGGAAUUUUCUGAAGAUUGAGAAAAAUGUGAAAUAUACUUCACGACGUGAAAACUCAAAUUUCAGAGGCGAAUUUGGAGAUUCUAAAAUUUUCAAACCUGACUGGGGCGGAGACAGACAGAUCCAAAAAAAAUUUCUGACACAAUUUUGAUAUAUGGAACAUUGAAAUCAGAGUUCGUAUGCGAAAGUUAUUGCUAUUUUACGAAUGGGAUCCGAAUUAGAGGAUAAUACGGUUCGAAAGUGGGAAAAAUUUGCGGCGGUGGCUAGAAAGUGAUGGGGAAAACACACGAACUGGACUCUAACAAGACCUAACCAGCAACAAUACCUCGACCAGGACACAAACUCAACACUGCAUACUCUCAGACUGAAAUAUGCAAAGGCUAUGACGCUGAAGGGUUGUAGGACAGGAAAACGAUAUGGCACUGGACUUACGGGACGACCACAAGAACACUCGAAACUAAAGGUAGAUGUGAACCUAACGGUAUACCUGAAGCUUUCAUAUUUUUCUUUUACUUAGGAGCACUAAAGAAGUAACCAGAGAAAACUUGAGCUUAAACAAGUGAAAGACAUGGCCUGCGGAAUUUUCUGAAAAUUGCGAAAAAUGUCAAAUAAACUUCACGAGGUGAAAACUCAAAUUUUGGGGGCAAAUUUGGAGAUUCUAAAAUUUUCAAACAUGCCAGUUCCAAGGAUAGACAGAUCCAAAAUUUUUUCUGAUCGAUUUUGAUAUAUGGAAAAUUGAAAUUGGAGUUCGUAUGUGAAAGUUAUGGCUGUUUUAUGAAUGAACUCUAAAUUAGAGGACAAAAUGGUCCGUAAGUGUGAAAAAUUUACGGCGGUGGCUAGAAAUUGAUGGAAACGUUGGGGAAAAAUACAUGAACUGGACUCUAACAAGACCUAACCAGCAACAAGACCUCAACCAGGACACAAACUCAACACUGUAGACUCUGAAACUGAAAUAUGGAAAGGCUACGGCGCGGAAGGGUUGUAGGAUAGGAAAACGAUAUGGCACUGGACUUAUGGGACGAACACAAGAACACUCGAAAUUAAGGGUAGAUGUGAACCUAACAGUAUACCUGAAGCUUUGAUUACCAGUUGAUGAGAACAAGGGUGGCCCGAUCUUCCAAAAGGUUCUGGUAACUCUCGAUUUGGUGGAGACAAGACACAAAUCGAUCCGGCUUCUGAACAACACGAUCCGAAACCCUACAAUUUUUUUAUUUUCUUGAUAUUUUUCUUUUACUUAGGGGCAAUAAAGAAGUAACCGCAGAAAAUUUGAGCUUAAACAAGUGAAAGACGUGGCCUGCAGAAAUUUCUGAAGAUUGCGAAAUAUGUGAGAAAAAUUGAUGAGGUGAAAACUCAAACUUUGGAGGCCAAUUUGGAGAUACUAAAAUUUUCAAACCCAUCGAUGUCAGAGACACACAGAUCCAAAUUUUUUUUCUAAUCGAUUUUGAUAUAUGGAACAUUGAAAUCGGAGUUCGUAUGUGAAAGUUAUGGCUGUUUUACGAACGGACUCCGAAUUAGAGGACAAAACGGUUCGAAAGUGGGAAAAAUUUGCGGCGGUGGCUAGAAAUUGAUGGAAAACGGUGGGGAAAAACACACGAACUGGACUCUAGCAAGACCUAACCAGCAACAAGACCUCGACCAGGACACAAACUCAACACUACGGACUCUGAAACUGAAAUAUGCAAAGGCUAUGACGCGGAAGGGUUGUAGGACAGGAAAACGAUAUGGCACUGGACUUACGAGACGAACACAAGAACACUCGAAACUAAGGGUAGAUGUGAACCUAACGGUAUACCUGAAGUUUUGAUUACCACUUGAUGAGAAAAAAGGUGGCCCGAUCUUCCGAAAGUUUCUGGUAACUCUCGAUUUGGUGGAGACGAGAUACAAACCGAUACGGCUUCUGAGCAACAUGAUCAGAAACCCUGCAAUUUUUUUUAUUUUUUUGAUAUUUUUAUUUUACUUAGGAGCACAAAAGAAGUAACCAUAGAAAAUUUGAGCUCAAACAAGUGAAAGACGUGGCCUGUAGAAAUUUCUGAAGAUUGCGAAAAAUGUAAAAAAAACACGAGGUGAAAACUCAAAUAUUGG